AGAACGAACGCUGGCGGCAUGCCUAAUACAUGCAAGUCGAACGAACACUUCGGUGUUAGUGGCGCACGGGUGCGUAACGCGUGGGAAUCUGCCCUUGGGUUCGGAAUAACAGUUGGAAACGACUGCUAAUACCGGAUGAUAUCGAAAGAUCAAAGAUUUAUCGCCCAGGGAUGAGCCCGCGUAGGAUUAGCUAGUUGGUGAGGUAAAGGCUCACCAAGGCGACGAUCUGUAGCUGGUCUGAGAGGACGACCAGCCACACUGGGACUGAGACACGGCCCAGACUCCUACGGGAGGCAGCAGUGGGGAAUUUUGGACAAUGGGCGAAAGCCUGAUCAGCCAUGCCGCGUGCAGGAUGAAGGCCUUCGGGUUGUAAACUGCUUUGUA
rnacentral:rRNA from 1 species